rnacentral:rRNA from 1 species
UACGUAAGGACCGAGCGUUGUCCGGAAUCAUUGGGCGUAAAGGGUACGUAGGCGGAUAAGCAAGUUGGAAGUGAAAUCCAAUAGCUCAACUAUUGUAAGCUUUUAAAACUGCUCAACUUGAGAUAUUGAAGGGAAAGUGGAAUUCCUAGUGUAGCGGUGAAAUGCGCAGAUAUUAGGAGGAAUACCUGUGGCGAAGGCGACUUUCUGGCAAUAAUCAGACGCUGAGGUACGAAAGCGUGGGUAGCAAAAAGG